rnacentral:misc_RNA from 1 species
GAUGAAGAACGUAGCGAAAUGCGAUACUUGGUGUGAAUUGCAGAAUCCCGUGAACCAUCGAGUCUUUGAACGCAAGUUGCGCCUCAAGCCAUUAGGUUGAGGGCACGUCUGCCUGGGCGUCACAUAUCGUUGCCUGAUGCCAGUUUCCUCGUGAUGGGUGACUGUGCUGGGCGAAUGAUGGCUUCCCGUGAGCAUUGUUGCCUCAUGGUUGGUUGAAAAUUGAGUCCUUGGUAGGGAGCGCCGUGAUAGAUGGUGGUUGAGUGACGAACGAGACCCAAUCAUGUGAGACCCCUACCGAAUUUGGCCUUCAUGACCCACAUGCGUCUUUGGAACGCUCAUGACGAGACCUCAGGUCAGGCGGGGCUACCCGCUGAGUUUAAGCAUAUCAAUAAGCGGAGGA